rnacentral:rRNA from 1 species
CUACGAAGGGGGCAAGCGUUGUUCGGAAUAACUGGGCGUAAAGCGCACGUAGGCGGAAUGUUAAGUUAGAGGUGAAAUCCCAGGGCUCAACCCUGGAACGGCCUUUAAUACUGGCAAUCUAGAGACCGAGAGAGGUGAGUGGAAUUCCGAGUGUAGAGGUGAAAUUCGUAGAUAUUCGGAGGAACACCAGUGGCGAAGGCGGCUCACUGGCUCGGUACUGACGCUGAGGUGCGAAAGCGUGGGGAGCAAACAGGAUUAGAUACCCCAGUAGUCC